AAGUGGCCUGACAUCUGGGGAGGAGGCAGAGCAAGUAUUUUCCUACCUUUCAAGAUAUAACAACAACACUAAGAACAUGCUUAAAGCUGAGCGUACAGAAGAACUGACAGAGGCGGCACUCUUUUGGAAUCACAGAAAAAUUAAUGGAAUGCCUCGGGCAUUAGUUGCCAGAUUCAGAAAGGCCACAGAGACAGCUGCAGCAGUUUCAAAUGAGAUUCACAGGCUUAAUGUUCC